CUUGAGGAUGUUUAAUAAGUUUUCGAUAGGCCCUUGGCUUCCGGAAAUUAAAAGAUUCUUAGCACAGAAAGUGUGCAGUGUUACAUUAUGCAAAUCACUAGUGGUUUAAUUAUCAUCCUUGUCUCAGUACUACCGUCUGGAUUCACAAGUGGUCAUCUAAAACAUUGUAAACACAAAUGUGAGCAAAAUGCAACCAAUAUUAAUGUAUACUAAGGGAUACGUCCUCAUAACAGUAUGAAAUAAUUUACUAUAACUUUACUAAAACCAUAAAUAUUUAACCCCUUGUGGAAAACCAAAUAGAGCAAAUAGAAAAUGCAAAAUCAUAUAUUGUCGCUCACCCCACCUUGACUCAAAAACAAUAUAAAAUAUACAAACUGGUCUAAUUUGUCUAUACGCUAUACCCCACCUUGAGAGUAUAAAUUAAAACAAAAACAAACAAAGAAUAACCAUUAUCAUUCUAUUGUUCACCCAACCUUGACCCAAGGAAAUGUAAAUAUAUGCAAUUAUCUGUUUUCCCUAUAUUCCCUUUAGAGUGUGAAAUACAAUAAAAAGCAUAAGAAAACAACAAAAUCAAAGAAGAUGGAG